UAUGAACGAAGUAAAUUAUGGAACUCGCGGCGGAUCUUCCUCAAGUAUGUACAGAUAUAAAUAAAAGAUUGACGUGGGAUCUCGGUGCAUUUUAUUUUCUUGAUCAAAAGAGAGGCCCCCCUCUCCGAUUUCACUAAGAGAAACCAAGGUUCACAGCUACUACUAGGGUUUUUGUUACCCCGCACACGACAUACUAUCUUACAUGACCGGGGAUUACGACGAACCCCAGCCCAGCACCUCAAAAGGAUCGUGCAAGAUCUGAAAAUAAAAGCAGAGCACCCACACAACACUUCAGACACAGCAUACAGUAGUUGGAAGCAAAGCCUAGCACAUCAUAGCUAAAGCAAGAACUAGAUAACGGCUGAGACAGCAGCAACGACGAAGAAGGUAAGCCACUGGGAAGACGAUCGGGACCUCAGCGCAUGCUCAUACAUGAUCAAGCAUCGACGGAUGCAAUGUUGGUGGCAUCGUUGCAGAACCGGCCGCACGCAUCGCCGCAGCGCCCCACGCCGACUUUCGUGUCUUCGCCAAGCUCAGCUGAUGACAAGAUCAAGAUAUGUGCAAUGCUCAUUCCAAACCGAAAAAAAAACUUUUCCCUCUUAUGAUAAAUUGAAAGUUAUAUAUACAGAUGAUGAGUUAAUUCAGAUACUACCUGAAUUGACGUUGUCACAGACUGAGAGCCUACAUCCUAAUUUGCAGUACUCAAUGGCGUCUGGUUCUUCUUCCGCAACAGCAGGAGCAAGCAUUAGUCAACCAGCCGUUAAUUGCAAUUUCUAUGCAUCUGGGAGCAAAAUGAUGUAGAGAAAACAGGAAGGGUGGCUUGGGUUCACGUACCAGCUGAACCGGGGAGAAGGUUGAGCUUAGGGUAUUCCCUGGGGCAUGUGCUGUCCCUUGUGAGCACACAGCCACACAUUUUUGAGCAGGGAGUACUGGGGUGCACAAGAAGGCACACGUUGUAACAGUUUCUUGACCUGGUGUCUCUGCAGCAGCUCUUGCCCUCUGCUACUUGGAUUUGUCCCUGGACAAGCAGUCCCAGUAUCAGUAUGAGUGCACACAUGAUCACGCUCUUGAAAUGCUUGCUCUCCAUGGCUGCCUUCCCUGCUGCGAAAACGCACAGGAACAAGACUCGUAUAUAUGGCCCCAAUUUAUAGGAGACGAUGCUCCGCAUGGGCAGUAAUUGUUGAGAAGUGAUAUGCAUGAAUGAGCCGUGCUCCGCUGAGAGCCACGUACACGGUUGAGAUCGUCUACGUGUGCGCUGCGUGCCCUAGGCGAUUAUGCGGUGCCCGCUAACUCCUACCUGCCUCGUGCAUUAAGUUUUCACGUGCAGCUCUUGUGCCAUGGCCGACUAGGAUGUUUUUAGGUGUAUUUUACUUUACUCUUGUGUUAUGGACAGAUACGUGGCCACUCGACCGGUUGUCCUCGUCGACGGUACCUCGCCCAGAAGAUGCCUACUCUCCAUCCUCAUUAGCUUCCGUGUUCUUCUUCUUUUUUCUUUUCUCUUAUUUAUUUUUCAAGAAAACUUCCGAUAUAUUCAUCUGCAAUCAUGGCACUACAACAAACAUCUUAAAUAAUAAAAAUUAUAUCCAGAUCCGUAGACCACCUAGCGACGACUACAAGCAUUGAAGCGAGCUGAAGACGCGCCGCCGUCAUUGCCCCUCCCUUGCAGGAGCUGGACAAAACUUGUUCUAGUAGACAGUCGAAAAAUCGUCGUACUAAGGCAACCGCCGCCGAUGAAGAGAGUAGUGUAGAUCGAAAGAAUUCAAUCUGAAAACACAUGAACAUAGACGAACUAUGAUCAGAUCCGAGCAUAUCCAGCAAGAACAGAUCCGCCGGAGACACACCUCCACAUGCCCAUCGAUGAUGCUAGACACACCAUCGGGAGGGCAGGCUGGGAGAACCUUAUUCCAUCUUCAGGGAGCUGUUGUCGUCUCGUCUUCUUGAAUAGGACACAAACUCUAACAAAAUACGAAGGAACAACUGAAAACAAAGCCCUUCCCCAACAAGGGCCGAGAUCCACCACACCACCAUGGCCCUAAAACCAUCGCAGACGACAUGUACCGACGACAGUACCAGCAGGAGGUGGGGGAACCCUAGACCAGCAAUUUUGUGGCCCAAGUUAGCACCUAGGAAAAAUUCUUCUUCUACUACUUCUUCUCUCUUAGGCUGCCCGUAAUGGAAGUAUCAUACUCCCUCCGUCCGGGUUUAUUGGGCCCCUGGGCGGAGGGAGCUCGUCCGCUCUUAUUAGGCCCCUUAAUCGAUAUGGCUGCCAAAAGCAGAAAAUGCUUCGUUGCUUUCUCGAUCUCCUCAGCCGCGGUUCAUCUUCCGAAGCGCAUUAAAUUUCCAUCCGCUGGCAUGCAGAAGAAGCUGCUAUACAUUGAGCGGACUAGUACUCCUAGCACAACGCCACAACAGUAGUCCCAGGAAAGAAACCAGCGUCUCGCCGGCCGGAUGCAGCGAUGUACCAGCAAUGUCGUCGCGACCGAAGGCGGAGCACAGCGUCGACGUUGAUCCGGACGCGGAGACCCAGUCCGGGCUGGGCUUGGACGCGUCGCCGACCAACCUCGCCGCUGCUGGGCACGCAGAGCUCGGUGUCCAUGGUGCGUCGCUGGCGGAGCACAGCGUGGACGUCGAUCCGGACGCGGAGACCCAGUCCGGGCUGGGCUUAGGCGCGCCACUGCCAGACCUCGUCGCUGCUGGGCACGCAGACCUCGGCGUCCAUGAUGCGCCGCAGGCCGAGCACGACAUGAAGGUCGCUCCCGACGCGGAGACCCAGGCGGAGCUGGGCUUGGGCGUCCAGGACAUGCAGGUAUGUAUGCAUGCCUUAUCCAGGGAUCAUGGUGAUGUUUAGUCGGUGCAGUUAGGCCGGCCAUGGUACUUAGCUUUUGUAGGAUGAAUAGCAAACGAUGCAUGCUCCACCCUUGUCUUUACAUGAUGGCUACAUGCAGGGCGGCGUGCUGGACGUGGGGCAGGGCAUCCUCGCGCAUGCCCACGACGUGCUCGACGUCGCGUAGGGCAUCCUCGCGCUCGCCCAGGAGGGUCCAGACCUUGGGGCGCUGCUGGACCAGGUGGAGGCUCUCAUGGACACCGUCACGGCGCUCGUCGACGACGCCACGGCAUUGGUGAACCAGCGACCGGGUGUGCUCGGCAGGGAGGAGGGAUUCGUGGUGCCAAGGAGGACUGCAUUCGGACUGAAGAGAGUUGAACACGCCAAGAUCUAGGGCGUUAGUGUCCGGAGAAUUAGGUGGCUGCAUCACAACCCUAAUGUCCCAACCACCUUGAGCAGCUGCCGCACACACCGCCGGAUCAUCUGGUCGAACAUGUGUCUUGGCAUUGUCCUGUUGGAUGAAAAUAGGCUUGUACCGAUCCUCUUGCGGCCACUUCUCCUUGAUUGCCGGCAACACCUUCGUGAUCAAGUAUUCCCGGCUCUUCUCCAUGCCGACUUUAUCGCAUGGCUUGAGCUCCAACGUUCCUCUAGGCCUGUUUGGGCUUCUCCUCUGUGAUGGUUUCCACUCAACAUAGGGCCAAAUUCCAAUUUUACCAUCAAAAGUACAAUUGCCUUGCAUAUCAUAUCUUGGCCUAGCAACAGCAGCAAGAAACAUGAUCUUCUCAAUGUGUCCCUUGUUUUUGGCGUGCCUCACGGGGUUCGGCUCGUUAAUGCCCAAAUAAACCCCCUGGGUUUUCCUUGUACGAUAAAACCACUUUUCAUCAAUAUGGACCACAUUAAACGAAUCCUUGAAGACAGGGUUCUCCGGCAUACUAGCGGGUUCUAGGUUUGAAAGGCAAUACAUGACACGAGCUUUCUUGUUUUCUUCCGCUAGCAUAGGCUUGAGCUCGUUGGUGUGUUUGCGUAACUCAUGCUCCUUCAAAAGCCUGUGAACGGUGGUCUUCGCCAUGUUCAAUGCACCGGCAACAUCUCUAAUUGUUGUUCGAUCAUUCGGAGGGACGGCGGCUAAAGCAUCUGAGUCCAAUGUAACACGCUUUCUACCAACUCUGCCCGGCCGCUUGUUGAUAACCGCAUUCACACCACCUCCUCUCCUACCAUUAUCCCAUAUCCGCCGAAGAACCCUAACUGACACUUUAUAUAGAGCUGAUAUUUUCUUAGUCACCCCACGUUUCAAUGGACCACGUCCAUUUAUCUCCAAAAUGGCCGUAUACAGUGAACGCUUUUCGUCAUCAGUAUGAAAUGUCCUUCUUUUCCUAUUGGCCAUCACAUCUGGGAACAAACAUAAGAGUAGAAUUUUGUUAAACAACAAGUGUGAAAAUAAGUGUUCAUACAUCUGGGAACAAAUAUAAACAUUAUAAAAAAAUACCUAUUGCUCAUUCUGUAAAGUUGCAGGAAAUAUACAUGUGCAAAAUCCAUCUAUGAAACCGAUAAAAAAAUAUACGUACUGUUCCAUUGCAUAUUCGAACUAAAAAAUAAGUGUUCAUACACAAAGCAAGCAAACCUACUUAGAUCGAUGAUGUUGUUGGUCUCAUGAUCUUCAGCGUUCUGGUCCGUGCCGUCUCCUUCUUCCUCGACGUGCUGGUCCAUGCCAUGUCCGUGCUCCUCGCCGUGCUGGUCCAUGCCGUGGUCGUCCUCGCCGUGCUGGUCCAUGUCGUGGCCGUCCUGGCCGUGCUGGUCCGUACCCUGGCCAUCUUCCUCGCCGUUCUGGUCCGUGCCGUGGCCUUCUUCCUCGACGUGCUGGUCCAUGUCGUGGCCGCCGUACGCGCCGCCAUCGUGAGAACGGAAGGCGCCGCCGUCGUGGGCACCGUACGCGCCGCUGUCGUGUGCAUAGUACGCGCCACCGUCGUGGGCACCGUAUGCGCCGCUGUCGUGUGCACAGUACGCGCCGCCGUCGUGGGCAUCGUACGCGCCGCCGUCGUGUGCACAGUACGCGCCGCCGUCUUCGUGCCUUGUGAACCAACGACUGCCCCGCCAGCCGGACAUACUACCACUGGAGGAGCUCGCCACCGACGGCAACCGACCAGCAAGACCGAGACGAAGAUGGCGUUCAGCGCCGGACGAGCUACCUAUGUCGCGAACGGCAGCGUGUCCUCCCCCGAGGAGCGCGGGGCUGUGCUCGCAGCCUUGUCCACGGCCAGGCGAUGAACCUAUGGAUGCAGGAAAACGCCCACACCGGCGUACACGCCCGGAAAGACCGAGGCGUAGCUGGCCUUGCCCGCAGCCGGCAUGACCAAGACCUGGCCGGCCUUGCCCGCGGCCGUUGCCGGCUUUGUGGCCGAUGUAGAAACAUAUAAUAAGUUCAGGCAAUCACCGGAGCCUCUCCGGUUUACUAAAUACUACUCCCUCCCUCCGUUCACCAUUAUAGGAUGUUCUAACUUUUUUCUGAAACAGAUGUAUAUAGCCGUAUUUUAGUGUAUUUGUUCACUCAUUUCAGUCCAUAUGUAGUCCAUAUUGAAAUAUAAAAAAUAUCUUAAUAGUGAACGGAGGGAGUAGAAGAUAAGGUUUAGAAGUGCUCCUCUACUGAGUAUGAACGAAGUAAAUUAUGGAACUCGCGGCGGAUCUUCCUCAAGUAUGUACAGAUAUAAAUAAAAGAUUGACGUGGGAUCUCAGUGCAUUUUAUUUUCUUGAUCAAAAGAGAGGCCCCCCUCUCCGAUUUCACUAAGAGAAACCAAGGUUCACAGCUACUACUAGGGUUUUUGUUACCCCGCACACGACAUACUAUCUUACAUGACCGGGGAUUACGACGAACCCCAGCCCAGCACCUCAAAAGGAUCGUGCAAGAUCUCAAAAUAAAAGCAGAGCACCCACACAACACUUCAGACACAGCAUACAGUAGUUGGAAGCAAAGCCUAGCACAUCAUAGCUAAAGCAAGAACUAGAUAACGGCUGAGGCAGCAGCAACGACGAAGAAGGUAAGCCACUGGGAAGACGAUCGGGACCUCAGCGCAUGCUCAUACAUGAUCAAGCAUCGACGGAUG
rnacentral:lncRNA from 1 species